GCUAGGCUUCGUAGCAAAGAGAGGCGGGCUACAGUUAGCUAAACAGACAGCAAAGAGGGCUGGCACUUCAAGGUGUGUUUGAUGUAUUUAAUACAAUUCCACACUGAUUCCGCUCCAUGCAUUACCAUGAGCCCGUCCUCAAAGGUGCCACCAGCCUCCUGUGACGAACUGAUUGACUAGCCACCACCAGAGUGAGCUCCAGUGAUGGCAUGUAAGAGCUAGUUGAGGUUCUGCUGCAUUGUGGAGCAUUGAACCAUAGAGAUGAGGAGGGAGGCCAACAGAAGAAGGUGCCAAAACACUUCAGUGUCACCACUGUCUCUGUCAUGCUAUGGGACACAUCUAAUCUGACAUCUAAAUACUUCCACGACAGAGAUGUGUGCAUGUGGAUGGGAGGUCUGAUUUUUCAGGAACAGGUAGAGGGGCAACUCUCAGAACAGAGCAUUUAAACAUCUGUAGAGGUUUCCUGGUUCUGACCGUUCUGCCUGCCCUGAGCCUGCCUGUGGUCCUGUACCUUUGCCCCACUACUCUGGAUCACCGACCUCUGCCUGACCUGACCCUGAGCCCGCCUACUGUCUUGUACCGUACACCCUCUCUGGAUUAUUGACCCCUGUCUGCCUUGACCUGUCAUUUGCCUGCCCCUGUUUGAGGAAUAAACUUUUGUUUCUUCAACACUGUCUGCACUUGGGUGAUACCUUAAAACGUGAUACUAGUGGUAGUAUUAAUUUGGGAUCUUUCGGAUCCCACAACUGUCCCAAACUAUAAUUGGAAUAUUUAUUUAUUGCACAGAAUAGAGUAGGUCCACAUUUUUACUAUGGGGGUUAGUAGAUUGACAUAGGCUAGUGCUUUUGCUGUUCGUUAGGCCUACUCAUCUUGUUGGCUGGCGAAAAAUAAAUCUGGACAGUUCUUCCAUAUGCGCCUCGGACGGAUGUGUCUGUCUUCACUUGUAGCCUGUGGGGAAGACCCGAUCACUUGACAGAGAGCCGAGCCAUGUGAGUGAGAGGUGCUUCAGCAUGCAGCCGGGAGAAGGGAAUUAUAAUUAUUACAUUCAGCCUAAGGGCACUACGGUCACUGGCCGCAAAAGGCAUACAUUUUUUACGGGCAUUAUGGCCACGCAAAGGGGAUGCAGCCGGGAAAUUCGAGGCAUUAUCAAGUGCUUGUAAAAUUGUGAGUGAGAGACUGAUGGUGUGUACAGCCUGCGCAAAAAAAACUAAACAGAACUCAUGCCUUUCAUGUGACUUUUUUCAUAUCAUUAGAGUCCCAUCAUGCAUCCUUAGGAUGUAUUAAAAAUCAAAACAUAGCCCAACAUUUGCAUCACAACUAAAGUUACAUAAAUAACUCUAAAUUAAGCAUGUAGGAGUACCUGUUUCUUUGUUAACCGCUCAACACAUAUAAUAGUCGCAUGUGCGCACUCCCUCAAAUCGUUGCGAAAAUGUCCUUUCUAUUUUAUUCAGCUAUGUUCAAUUGUAUUCUUCAUACUAUAAAAUAAUAUCAUGGAAUUCAGGGCCUAACAAAAGGACAACUCAAAGUAUGCUAUUCUGUUCUUCUGAAAUAGAAUACAUUUGCUUCAUAUCAUGUUUCUUUAGACCUGUCUAAAAUAAAUAAUGGAUUUAUUGUGAUGGUGUAGGCUAUGUUACAUGGAUUUAUUAGACCUUUUAAAAUGUAGACGUUCCAAAGGUCUGCAUCAUUGGUUUGUAGGCUUUGCGUGAAAGCCAGGAGAUGGUAAAUGGGUUUAUGUUAAUUAACGGUCCAUUACAGUGAGACUGGCAGUUAUUUGCUUGACAAUCAUGGGAUGACAACAUUUCAUGCACACCUCAGCCCUGUCCUACACUUUUACAAAUGUUCAUUUGGAGAGGUUUCUCAAUUUAGGAUUGGAUCUAGAGCUUGUCUUCAGUUUGCAAGGUUUGCUUCUAAGUAGAGUUUUUCCAAUGUAUCUAUGUCAAAGGUUGUUAGGAUAGGUAUUCACAGAUAGAUGGAAUUCAAUGGAUGUAAAAGUAUAGACAACAUUGGUUUCGCUCUGAAGUAAAAGAAAAGUGUUGAUCAUUUUU